AGUGAACGCUGGCGGUAGGCCUAACACAUGCAAGUCGAACGGCAGCACAGGAGAGCUUGCUCUCUAGGUGGCGAGUGGCGGACGGGUGAGGAAUACAUCGGAAUCUGCCCAGUCGUGGGGGAUAACGUAGGGAAACUUACGCUAAUACCGCAUACGACCUUCGGGUGAAAGAGGGGGAUCGCAAGACCUCUCGCGAUUGGAUGAGCCGAUGUCGGAUUAGCUAGUUAGCGGGGUAAUGGCCCACCAAGGCGACGAUCCGUAGCUGGUCUGAGAGGAUGAUCAGCCACACUGGAACUGAGACACGGUCCAGACUCCUACGGGAGGCAGCAGUGGGGAAUAUUGGACAAUGGGCGCAAGCCUGAUCCAGCCAUACCGCGUGGGUGAAGAAGGCCUUCGGGUUGUAAAGCCCUUUUGUUGGGAAAGAGAUCUUUCAGGCUAAUACCCUGGGAGGAUGACGGUACCCAAAGAAUAAGCACCGGCUAACUUCGUG
rnacentral:rRNA from 1 species